GGGAGGGACGGGAUCGGCACGCCUGGACAGGAUUGUCACAGCGACACGGCGCUGCUGGCUCCCCUCUGCUCCGAACACGGCGUGCUGCCAGCCACCACUUUGUUUCUGCCCUUAGAGAAGUUUGGACAGAAUUUCUUAAGAGCUACGUUCAGAGUUGGCUGAGAUGAUGUGCUUCCCUUUGUCAGAUCUGCCUGCAGUCCUCUGGCAGUUUCCUGAGUGUGGAGCUCAUAUGAGCAGUCCCUGCGGAAUUUAGUCCAUUUGUAUACUUGGAAGGACAUAUGUGCAUAGUUGCUUUAUGGAAUUCGUGCCUAAACCUACUCCUAAUAAAUGUGGAGUGUUGAUUAGGUCCUGUUUUCGACGGGACCUUUAGAAUCAAACCAAUGUGAUUAAGUCUCAGUGCUCGUUUAACAGUGGUGUGCUGAUCAGUGUGAAAAGGGGAGUGACUGUGUACCUAAACUGGAUGUCAAACAGAUGAAAAGUUAGUUAAUAUGGGGCAGGAUUAAAUUAUUAGCAAGUGGAAGUCUUGCAUCUUGCCCUAAAACAGAGGACUGUAUGUUCUAAAGAGAUGUGCACACUUUAAUGCUCCUCUAUGGGGAGCUCUGAAAGCUCAGUGCCAUCCCUUGUCUCUGGACUGCCAUGUGACUUUUCUCCAUUUACCAGUUUUUAAAUUGCCCCCAUAAUUUUUUUUCAUCAGCUUACUUGAAGCAAGUGAGUUGGAAUUGUAUCCAGGAGCAAACUUUGAAAUUCUUUGGCCAAAAUUUUUUUUUAUCUGUAGGGGCAGAUGCUACUGUUACCGAAGCUGUGUUUCUGGUUAUGUACUUUGUUCGGUAAUUUGGAAGACUUAGCGUUAGUAUCAUUACUUACAGAAUUGAGUAACUUUUCAUUUCAAGACAGAACAGCAGCAGGAUUUGAAAUGUUUGAGUUUGGCAAGAAAAGGCUUGUCUGUAAAACAAUGAAAUUGCGUUGGGGAAAUACAGUGCCUCUGUUCAGCUGGGGCAGGCUGAGGUACACUGCAAGCUGUUGUGAGCUGCAGCUGCAUUUACCAUCAAACACUGAGCUGGUGCCGAUGAAUGUUUUGUUUUUAGUGUCAUGGAAACUGUGAGCCAAAGAAUGGAUAUUCUAUUCAUCUGGGAAAAUAGCAGUUCACUGCAUAAAACAUCAGUUGCUUCCAAAGCAGUUCUUAAAAUAGACUUUGUGAAUAUAACCCUAGAAGUAAAAGUGCAGCAAUUUAAAUGACCUCAGUACUACUUUGGUUUUUUAAAUUAGGAUAUAUGUGUGAAUGAAAUAAACACAGAGGAAGUGAAAGUUUCAAGAUACAACUGUGGCAUGGAACUCCUACAAUGAUUCUGUGUUUUACUUUACUAUGGAAUUUUAAUUUAAAGAAAUGGAGAAACCCAGAUAUUUCAAUAUCAGUCUUAAUCCUUUUUACAAUUCUUCUUCAAAUGGCUUGCUCAAAGGAUAGUUUUGAUCAUCGUUCAGUACCAUUUACUGUUUUGUACAGCAGAGUGCAAAUCAGAAACUCAUUGCAGAGUCCGGAUAUCCAAGAGAGUGCUCUCAUGGGCAAAGAAGGAAAGAGG